rnacentral:lncRNA from 1 species
AAGGUGGGGAGAUGCCACCAUCAGCAGCCUUGGAGGUGCCACCAAUGCCCUGGAGACGCCACCGCCAAGGUGGGGAGAUGCCACCACCACUGGAGAUACCACUACCACCCAGCCCUGGAGGUGCCACCAGCCCUGGAGACGUCACCACCAAGGUGGGGAGAUGCCACUAUCAGCCCUGGAGAUGUCACCACCAAGGUGGGGAGAUGCCACUAUCAGCCCUGGAGAUGUCACCACCAGGGCAGGGAGAUGUCACCACCACUGGAGAUGCCACCACCACUGGAGAUACCGCUACCAACCACACCUGGAGAUGCCACCACCAGGGUGGGGAGAUGCCACCAUCAUCCCAGGUGCCACCAGUCCUGGAGGUGCCACCACGAGGGCAGGGAGAUGCCACCAGCCCUGGAGAUACCAAUGCCAGCACUGGACACGAUGCCACCAGGGCAGGGAGAUGCCACCACCGGUCCUGGAGAUGCCACCAGUGCAGUGAAAUGGCCCCAUCACAAGCCCUGGAGAUGCCACCACCAGCUCACGUCCCCCCCGUGUCAUUGUCCCCUUCCUCCUGGCGCUGCCCGGACCCCCCCUC